GAUGAACGCUGGCGGCGUGCCUAAUACAUGCAAGUCGAGCGAACGGACGAGAAGCUUGCUUCUCUGAUGUUAGCGGCGGACGGGUGAGUAACACGUGGAUAACCUACCUAUAAGACUGGGAUAACUUCGGGAAACCGUAGCUAAUACCGGAUAAUAUUUUGAACCGCAUGGUUCAAAAGUGAAAGACGGUCUUGCUGUCACUUAUAGAUGGAUCCGCGCUGCAUUAGCUAGUUGGUAAGGUAACGGCUUACCAAGGCAACGAUGCAUAGCCGACCUGAGAGGGUGAUCGGCCACACUGGAACUGAGACACGGUUCAGACUCCUACGGGAGGCAGCAGUAGGGAAUCUUCCGCAAUGGGCGAAAGCCUGACGGAGCAACGCCGCGUGAGUGAUGAAGGUCUUCGGAUCGUAAAACUCUGUUAUUAGGGAAGAACAUAUGUGUAAGUAACUGUGCACAUCUCGACGGUACCUAAUCAGAAAGCCACGGCUAACUACGUG
rnacentral:rRNA from 1 species